UACGAAGGGGGCUAGCGUUGCUCGGAAUCACUGGGCGUAAAGCGCACGUAGGCGGAUUGCUAAGUCAGGGGUGAGAUCCUGGAGCUCAACUCCAGAACUGCCUUUGAUACUGAAGAUCUUGAGUUCGGGAGAGGUGAGUGGAACUGCGAGUGUAGAGGUGAAAUUCGUAGAUAUUCGCAAGAACACCAGUGGCGAAGGCGGCUCACUGGCCCGAUACUGACGCUGAGGAGCGAAAGCGUGGGGAGCGAACAGG
rnacentral:rRNA from 1 species